rnacentral:rRNA from 1 species
AUUGAACGCUGGCGGCAGGCCUAAUACAUGCAAGUCGAGCGGAGCUGCGGACGGGCGAGUAAUGCCUACGAAGCUGCCUGGCCGUGGGGGCUAACGUCCGGUAACGGGCGCUAAUACCGCAUACUACUUGCUGUGCCUAGGUCGGAUUAGCUAGUUGGUUGGGUAAAGGCCUAACAAGGCGACGAUCCAUAACUGGUCUGAGAGGAUGAUCAGUCACACUGGAACUGAGACACGGUCCAGACUCCUACGGGAGGCAGAAGUAGGGAAUAUUGGACAAUGGGCGAAAGCCUGAUCCAGCCACGCCGCGUGAGUGAAGAAGGUCUUCGGAUUGUAAAGCACUGUAAGUAGGGAAGCGUUACCUACAGAGAAAGCACCGGCUAACUUCGUGCCAGCAGCCGCGGUAAUAC